CAUGUCAGAAAGGACAAAUCCCCCUAUUAUAUACAAAGCUUCUAGAAAUAGAGGAGGAAAAGACCAUCAAUCUAAUAGAAAAAGAUGGGUAAGAGACAAGAAUGCGUGGUCCACAGAGGACCCUUAAACAUAUGCAAAAAUGGUCAACUGUUUUCAAAAUAGGAGAAAUACAGUUUAAAACAACACUAGGCUACAGUGAUUUGCCCAACAGACUGGCAAAAAUCCAACACACCUUGUUGGUAAAUUCAUGGUGAAACAAGACGUUCUCAUCCGUUGUGGCUAAAACAGCGAAUCCUCUGGGAGCAGCAAGCACCGGUUAUGAAAUUUCCAAAUUCAGCUCCCUUUGCUCCCACAUCUGGCCUUUAGGAAUCCGUCCUCUGUUGCAUCAGUGUGAAAUGGCACGUCUGCAAGCUUAUGGGUCUCCAAAUAGCACAUCAUAAUAGCGAAAGAUGACAAGAACAGACCACCGUCAGGUGGGAGGGAGCUGGUUAAAUAUUCUAUGGUGCGUCCGCACAAUGGAGCGAUAAGGAUAUAUUGAAAGUAAUGAACUUGGUGUCGAACAGAAGGAUUUCUAAAAUAUGUUAAGUAAUAAAACUAAGGUGCAGAAGGAUAAUUGGAUAAGAAGGAGGAAAACAAACAUGGAUAUUUGUGUUAUGAGUAGUUACGACAGGGCGCUAGCAGGGUAUGUGAGAAAUAAAGGGAAAUUUUAUUAAUUAGGUGAGAGCAGCGACUCUUAAACUUCAGCCCAGACCGGGAUCACCUGGAGGGCUUGUUAAGUACAGAUUACUGGCUCCCACUCCCCGGGCUUCUGAUUCAGUAGGCCUGGGAUGGAUUCCAAAACGACUUCUAACAAGCUCCUAGAUGGCCAACCAGAGAUUUGGAUUUUGAGAUCCACUGGAUCAGAAAAUGGGAUACACAGAAGCUGGAGCUAGGCUUCUCCAGGAAUGAGGGGCAGAGGCAGAGGGAGAAUCUCCAGCAGAAUCCACCCUGAAUUCAGAGCCGGGCUCUGGGCUCCAUAUCAAGACCUGAACCGAAAUCAAGAGUUGGACACCCAGGCACCCCUCCAGAGAAAGAGCACAAGCAGAGGGAGUGGCAGGCAGAGUUGG